GUGGGUCACGGGCUCGGGUCAGGGAGACUCAUAUAAGGUAAAGAAAGCUGUGAAACUUCAGCAGAACCACGUCCAGCAGAACGCUCCCUCUCUCUCACAUUCACACAGACUCUCCAGCAGAAGAUCCAGAGCCCAGAGAGAAAGAGUCUACUCUAUUCUAUUCUAUUCUAUUCUAUUCUAUUCUAUUCUUCAUCUCAGUCACAUUCCAGUCGUGACUCUUCUUUUCUUUCCAAAACAAAAGACAGAAAAGAAAAGAAUCUUUAUCAGCCCAGAGCACCAAGCUCUCAGUAUUCAGAGUGUCAGCUGGGUGUGGACGAUGGUACUCUACAUGCCUGAGGUGCUCGCAGCAGUUUCUGGAGAUUCAGGACGAUCUCGGGAGUCCCUGGAGUCCUGGGGUUCCCGGCCGAAGAUGGGAGAUGUAUGGGGGUUUAUUACAGCCUGAUCAGAAGUGUCCUCAGGCCCACGGUGCAGUGCUGCAUCUCUGGUCAACUGGGAGUCUGAGAUGAAGCACUGUAGCUCGGGAAUGGGGGAGUGGCUACAGCUAACACAUAAAUAUAUUUAUUAUUUUUUAUCAUAUUUACUAAUUGAGAAUUACAGUUUAUUUUAUAUGUGUAUUAGUGUGUAUGUGUGUUUAAUUUAUUCCAGUUCAAUUAUAACUGUAAAUACAGGUGUUGGAGAAUGAAGCUGAAACACCUGGUUUUAGAGCACAAUAAUUGAUUGUGGUGACGGACAGUUCUGGUGGAAACAGGAGAGUUGAGGUGCACAUUGAAUUCUGUCUGAUUUGAUCAGCCGUGGUUUUAUGUUUUUUGGAUACAAUCCGGGUUAGCACCCGAACAUCCCUUUCAGACAGCUUCCUCUUACAGCGUCCACAGUUAAUCCUGUUGGAUGUGGUCGGUUCUUCUUGGUGGUAUGCUGACAUUACCCUGGAUACCGUGGCUCUUGAUGCAUCACAAAGACUUGCUGUCUUGGUCACAGAUGCUCCAGCAAGACGUGCACCAACAAUUUGUCCUCUUUUGAACUCUGGUAUGUCUCCCAUAAUGUUGUGUGCAUUGUAAUAUUUAGAGCAGAACUGUGCUCUUACCCUGAUAAUUGAACCUUCACACUCUGCUCUUACUGGUGCAAUGUGCAAUUAAUGAAGAUUGAACACCAGGCUGCUCCAAUUUAGCCAUAAACCUCACUAACCAACACUAAAAUGAUGACAGGUGUUUCAGUUUCAUUGUCCAAACCCCUGUAGUUACAGUUAUUGAUGUCCUAACAGUUGUUGUUGUUGUUAUUUGUUGGUUUGUUGUUUGUUUAUUUCUGUGGAAGAUGCUCCUCCCUGUCCCCGGGGUCCAGUUUUCCCAGGAAUCCCUUGCAGAGUCACAUGGGGGAUUCCUGGAAAUACUGUUCUUGGGGGCGGGGUUACACAACGUGAAUAUAUUUAUUAAAGAAAAUGUUUGAUAUGAAGUUUACAGAAAUAUGCUCAUAUGACUCAUUAAUGAAUAAUGAUGUGUGAGAACUGAAAUUCUAAAUAUUCUACAUCCUGUGGAAACCCUAAAGGGUAGAGUAAAAAAUAAAAAGAUAAUAUUUCAAA